rnacentral:rRNA from 1 species
AUUGAACGCUGGCGGCAGGCCUAACACAUGCAAGUCGAGCGGAGAUGAGGUGCUUGCACCUUAUCUUAGCGGCGGACGGGUGAGUAAUGCUUAGGAAUCUGCCUAUUAGUGGGGGACAACAUUCCGAAAGGAAUGCUAAUACCGCAUACGUCCUACGGGAGAAAGCAGGGGAUCUUCGGACCUUGCGCUGAUAGAUGAGCCUAAGUCGGAUUAGCUAGUUGGUGGGGUAAAGGCCUACCAAGGCGACGAUCUGUAGCGGGUCUGAGAGGAUGGUCCGCCAAACUGGGACUGAGACACGGCCCAGACUCCUACGGACGGCAGCAGUGGGGAAUAUUGGACAAUGAGGGAACCCUGAUCCAGCCAUGCCGCGUGUGUGAAGAAGGCCUUAUGGUUGUAAAGCACUUUAAGCGAGGAGGAGGCUACUGAGACUAAUACUCNUGGAUAGUGGACGUUACUCGCAGAAUAAGCACCGGCUAACUCUGUGCCAGCCGCCGCCGUAAGA